rnacentral:rRNA from 1 species
AAUGAACGUUGGCGGCGUGGAUUAGGCAUGCAAGUCGUACGAGAAUCGUAGCAAUACGAGGAAAGUGGCGGAAGGGAGAGGAUUACGUGGGAAUCUACCCUCAGAACUGGGAUAGCGGCGGGAAACUGCCGGUAAUACCAGAUAAUGUCUGUGGACCAAAGGUGUGAUUCCGUCUGGGGAUGAGCCCACGUGCCUAUUAGCUAGUUGGCAGGGUAAUGGCCUACCAAGGCAAUGAUGGGUAGCGGGUGUGAGAGCAUGACCCGCCUCACUGGAACUGAGACCUGCCCAGACACCUACGGGUGGCUGCAGUCGGGAAUCUUCGGCAAUGAACGCAAGCUGGACCGAGCGACGCCGCGUGCGGGAUGAAGGCCUUCGGGUUGUAAACCGCUGUCGUAGGGGAGCAAGAGAUGAGGGUACUCCCUCUGAUUUGGGCGAUCCUAGGAGGAAGGACGGGCUAAGUUCGUGCCAGCCGCCGCAGUAAGAC